UUGAGGAAUUGUUCUGUGAUUAGCCUGCGAACAGGCUCUCAAGCUCUCAAUUCAGCUUGAGAGCCUGUUCGCAGGCUAUUCUGUGAUCGACGCAUGGAAAUGAACUGAUCAAAAUUGUUCGGAACGCUUCUAUUGGCACGACAGUAAUUUGUACAGACAUUUUAUAUUGUAAUAUCAGGAAAUUAUGAGUUGUGAAACGCAGGAUAUCUAGUCUUGAACGUGCUUUCGCGCUGUUCAAACGUAUCGGCGAGAUUUGUCAAACGCCGCUAUUUCGCGGUUCAAACUAAUUGAUUAUUACGUUUCAACACGCACGUUUGACCCGCCCAUCGUGUACGUUGGAAACGUAAACAAACGUGGAAAAAGUUUGGAUUUUGCGGUUGCUUGCAAAUGGUGUAUUAUAAAGUAUUUUACGUUUCAUGCGAGUGUCGUAUAUUGCGCAGUUUGGACGCUUCUAAACUGUCUAACUCCCUAACUAUUUUGCGCACGCGAAGUCCGCAUGCAACCGCCCUGAAAAGGAAUAUCCCUGAAGAUAUUGAGCCGCAAUGACCGCCAUAAGAGAGGGGACCUAGUCACUGGUAGCGGACUGUUUGUUUUUUUUUUCAUGAAGUAAGACCGGCUACCAGGAAAAUACAUGCUUUACCUUACUACGGGAGAGAAAAUGUUUGAAAAAACUUUGCCACCAUAAUUGUUGCCUUAUUCUCGCCAAUUCAAACGACCAGCACGAUUUCCACGAAGUCUUCUUACGGGUACCAUUAGCACCCUCUAAGCUAUGGGUACCAUUUGUAACCCCUAACCCCAAGACAAACGAUGCCAGUUUUUUGAAAAAAAGGUUUAGAUGAGGAAAGUGACAAAUAAGCGACAAGGUAUUACAAAGAAUCAAACAGCAAUUUCCAAUCGUCGUUCUAUUUCGAAAGACAAAACUCUGGCAAAGCUUUUCUUGUACACAUCCUGCCUCGUGACCCUGUCUAAACUGUUGCGUUGCUGCACUCGUUAUGCGUGUGCUGGUGUGCACAAAGGCAGUAUAUAGAAUAUAUAUAGAACCAUGCAAUAAUCAUACACUUAAAUGUUCCUUUUUUUUUCCAGAUCGGUUUUCAAAUUCAGAAGCCGACGAAUUUCGGAAGUACAGUUUUUGCAGAGAAAAUCAUCGUUAUAAACUUUCGUUCAAGCUAUCAAAGUUUACUACUGACAGAAAAUAGAUCGAAUUCUGCCUCGUACCCAGGCGUCUCUUUGUAAAAAACAGUGAUGCGCAUAGGACGAGUUUACAUGAAGUAUUGUAGUGGGGAUAGAUGGGCGAAGGGGCUGAUGGGAAGAGUGCACCCUUCCCAACAGCCCCUUCGCGCGUCGCCUACCUACCCGAAUACUUCAUGUAUUGUAAUUAUUUAAAGCGCCUGGGUACGAGGCAGGAUCGAAUUUGUAAAUAUACUGAACAUUUAGACCGCCAGGAUUUAUGCCGGAUUUCAUUGUCCCAGAACAACAAAACAAACAAUGGCCUGGAUACAAGUAUCUACAGCCUGUUCGCAGGCAAACAAGAAAGAGCAGUACCUGAAAAUAGACAUUUCUGUGACCUUUGUAUGUCCAUUAACUGAAUAUCCAUUACGGGGCCAUAUUUAUCCAUCAUAGUUUCUUUGUAUCCAUUUAUUAUAAUCACAAAUAUCCACUGUCGGCCAUGGACAUUUGAUCAAUCCUUCAUAUGGUAUUUUAUAAAUCAAUAUUUCAUCAGCAUGUUCAGUAAUGAUCUGUAAAACAAAGCAAAAAAAACAACAAUAAUUAAUUCAGAUAUAAAACUUAAACAAAAUUGCUACAAAACACAAAUUAAACCGUUAGGUUGCAUGCAUAGGCAUGCUCUACUCGAGUAUUUUACUGUCCAACGCUAGACGAUUUUAUGCUUCAUAAUGAGACUGCCUAUAUGUCUAGUUACCCAUCAACUGCCAGUGCACCCCCUGCUUAAUAAAAAUUGUCUGACGUUAGACAGAGUUAAAUAAUAUAAGUAGGAAAAUUAG